rnacentral:lncRNA from 1 species
UCUCUGUGUGGUUUACUUAGUAAUGAUGUUUGUGCGCAUGUGUACAUAGCUGAAUGCCCAAGGUGAGUAUUGCAUAGUUUUUGUUCAUUGAUGUCAACCUUUAGUUUUUGAGAAAGGGUCUCUCUCUGAACCUGAAGCACAUUGUUUUAUCUAGCCCGGCUGGCCGUGAGCUUCAGGGGUCCCCCUGUCUCCACGUCUACAGUUCUAGGGUUAUAAGAGAACACCUCUAUCCCUGGCUUUUUACCUUGGUUCUUGGGAUAUGAACUGAUAUCUUCAUGUUUAUAUGGCAUUGUCUUACCCACUGGGCUGUUUUCCUCUACCCCUUAUGCCUUUAGUAUUUAUUAAAACACUUACUUGUCACCAGACCUUUGUCAGUGAAAUUGACUGACAGUGCUUUGCUGCAUUGGUUACUGUUUCCAGGAUAAAAUAAUUGACAAGAACAGCUAACAGAAAGAUAAGAUGGCUUGGGCUUACAGUUUGAAGGGCUAGUCAAUCAUGACAAGGAACGUGUGAUAACGGAGUGUUAGGAUGCUAGGUCUACUGUUAGGAAACAAAGCGAGAAAUACUGUUGCUCAGCUUACAUUCUCCUAUUUAUUCAGAUGAAACUAGUAUGGGUCCUCCGACCUCAAUUAACCUAAUGUGGAAAAUCCUUCACAGACAUGCUUACAGAUCUGUCUCCAAAGUCAUUCCAGAUCUUGUCAGGUUGACCAUCAAUCUAAGUCUGCCCAUCACAAGUCUACCCAUUGUCAAUGCGAUUGCAGACAUACCACUUUUAAGCCAUAACCUUUCACUCCUUAUCCCCAUGAGCUCAUGGUCAUCUCAUAAUGCACAUGUACUGGGUCUAACUUUAAAUACAGUUUUUAGAUUUAAAUAGAUAUAUAAAUAGAUAUAAAAAUAUGUAUAGUUUUCAACAGUUCCAACAUUGUUCAAAAUGGUAAGUUCAGAGUCUCUCUGAAUCUUGAGCAAUUUCUUAAACGUGAGUCCCUAUACAGCCUAAAGGAAGUAUAUACUUCUAACAAAUGAUGGUGGAGACUAAACAUUCACACCUCAAAAGGAAAGAAUAGGGGCAUAGUAAGGAAAGUUUAUAUUAAAGCAAGACCAUAACCCAGCAGGAAAAUACUAAAUCCUGUAAUUCUGUGUCAGGUAUCUGGGGUUCAUGAUAGAACAAUCUGGGCCCCAAAGAGCUUGUGUAACCUUUCUCCUCUAGUUCUGCCACUUGUAACACCUGUAACUUAGUCUCUUGGAUAUAUAUGCCAGUGGAUUCCUUGGUAGACCUCCCAUGGUCCCAGAACAAUAAUAUCCUUGAGUUUCCAUUUCAGCUUAGCCUUCACCUUCACUGUUUCAUACAAAUGGCCCUGUAGGGCCUUUGUAUAGGGAAUCUGACCCUGCUGCAGACUGCCUGUCCUCAGUAGCCUUCUGGAAGCUAUGUAAAGCCUCUAGGGCCCUCUCACUCUUUCAUCCUUCAGGCCUCUGAAACCUUUACCAUGUGGAUGAAACCCAGACCUUUUGGACCAUAGCUGCUAUGGUUUCUGUCUGUGCAGACUCUUCUUCUGGAGUAGGAAACCCCUUUAGUGGCACUCAUAAUUCAGACUAUUUCAAAUUAUUUUGCAUUUUCACAGAAUCUUCAGUGGAGGGAUUUUUGUCUUCAGAUCUUCUUUCCGAGUUCCUCUAACUUUAUAGUGUGCAUUCUUUUCUUUACCAAACCCAGUCCAUUUCUUUGUAAUCUCUCACUGUGGAACUGAAUAAAAGCAGUGAGCCGUUGCCAUGACAUAACUUGAAUGCUAUGCUGUCUUGAAAUUUCCACCAUCAAAGAAAUUAGUCCACAUGGAUUCUCAGCAGCUAUGAUUAUGUGUAAAAGAUCAAACGGGCCAGAAUCCCAGCAUGAAUGGGAAAGGGGCCAUCUAGUCCCACCCAUAGCUAGGAGCUAUUUUGAUAAUUCAUGGCUGCAGGGAUAAGGGUAGUCUGUUUUCUUCAAAUAUAUGGUCCCUGAAAGGUUACAGUACUCCCACAGAUACUCCUAUUUCCCUAUACAUACAGGAAGCACUAAGUGUACUCAGUGGGUUUAAAAAAACCAAAACGGAUGAAGUUGGGUGGAAAAGUGGAAAGCAUAAGGGAGGAAUUAGUGUGAAAGAGGGAUGGGUUUGAUCAAACACAUUAUAUGCACAUGUGAAAGGAAGUUAUUUAUGAAACCACAGUCUUGCCUAAGUUCACAUAUAUUGUGUUUACAGUAAAUAAAUAAAUUAAUUAAUUAGAGUAGUCCAUUACUUUUUAAUUCAGUCUUGUCUAGCUUCUCAGGACAUGAGCAGAAUGCCAGAAUGAAGCAAGCAUGGCUUCUGUCCCAGAUCCUGGUCGUACCCUUGAUCACCUCCAAAACUGCAUGAGUUGACCCUCCACACCUUUGUUUCACUUGGGCACUUCAGUUUAUUGACCUUUUUGAGUUCUGUGGCCUGACACUAUUACUGAGGCUAUGGUGCUCACAAAAAGG